UUUCGAAUCAUUCACAAUGGGCGAAAGCCUGAUGGUGCGACGCCGCGUGGGGGAUGAAGGUCCUUGGAUUGUAAACCCCUGUCACCGGGGAAGAAACGUACAUACUUAACACGUAUGUGCCUGACUUAACCCGGAGAGGAAGCAGUGGCUAACUCUGUGCCAGCAGCCGCGGUAAUACAGAGACUGCAAGCGUUAUUCGGAUUCACUGGGCGUAAAGGGUGCGCAGGCGGCCGAGUGUGUUAGGCGUGAAAGCCCGUCGCUCAACGACGGAAUUGCACCUAAAACUAUUCGGCUAGAGUACUGGAGAGGGUAGCGGAAUUCAUGGUGUAGCAGUGAAAUGCGUAGAUAUCAUGAGGAACACCAAUGGCGAAGGCAGCUACCUGGACAGUUACUGACGCUCAGGCACGAAAGCGUGGGGAGCAAAAG
rnacentral:rRNA from 1 species